CAGUGAACAAUUAAACGGCCGCGGUACCCUAACCGUGCAAAGGUAGCAUAAUCAUUUGUCUACUAAUUAUAGACCUGUAUGAAAGGCAAAAUGAGGGUUUAGCUGUCUCUUAUAAUAAAUCAAUUAAACUGAUCUCCUAGUAAAAAAGCUAGAAUAACAACAUAAGACCAGAAGACCCUGUGAAGCUUAAAUUAAACUAUUAAACCAUAUAAUAGCUUAUUUUGGUUGGGGCGACCUUGGAAAAAAAAAGAACUUCCAAAUAACAUGACCUACCUCAGACUAUAACUUACAGGCCGACAAGCCAAUAAAUGACCCAGCACAGCUGAUAAUUGAACCAAGUUACUCCAGGGAUAACAGCGCAAUCUUCUUCAAGAGCCCAUAUCAAAAAGAAGGUUUACGACCUCGAUGUUGGAUCAGGACAUCCUAAUGGUGCAGCCGCUAUUAAGGGUUCGUUUGUUCAACGAUUAAUAGUCCUACGUGAU
rnacentral:rRNA from 1 species